rnacentral:rRNA from 1 species
AUACGGGGCAAUUUUGUCUUGUAAUUGGAAUGAGUAGGGUCUAAACCCUUCUACGAAUCAAUUGGAGGGCAAGUCUGGUGCCAGCAGCCGCGGUAAUUCCAGCUCCAAUAGCGUAUAUUAAAGUUGUUGCGGUUAAAAAGCUCGUAGUUGGAUUUCAGCCUUGGACGACCGGUCCAGCUUCGCGCUGGGUCCGGGUUGAACUUGGCUUCUCUUGGUGUGUCGUGUACGUGGUUAAAACCGCUGCAUGAGCUCCAGGGCUUUUACUUUGAGGAAAUUAGAGUGUUUCAAGCAGGCGUCUGCCUUGAAUACAUUAGCAUGGAAUAAUGGGAUAAGGCUCCAGUCUUAUUUUGUUGGUUCUCGGGACUGCAGUAAUGAUUAAUAGGGACAGUCGGGGGCAUUCGUACUUGACAGUCAGAGGUGGAAUUCUUGGAUUUGUCAAAGACGGACUACUGCGAAAGCAUUUGCCAAGGAUGUUUUCAUUGAUCAAGAACGAAAGUUGGGGGAUCGAAGAUGAUUAGAUACCGUCGUAGUCCCAACCAUAAACCAUGCCGACUAAGGAUCGGAUAUCGUUACUAUGUGACGUUUCCGGCAUUAGGUGAGAAAUCAAAGUCUAUGGGUUCCGGGGGGAGUAUGGUCGCAAGGCUGAAACUUAAAGGAAUUGACGGAAGGGCACCACCAGGAGUGGAGCCUGCGGCUUAAUUUGACCCAACACGGGAAACCUCACCAGGUCCAGACAUAGUAAGGAUUGGCAGAUUGAAAGCUCUUUCUUGAUUCUUUGGGUGGUGGUGCAUGGCCGUUCUUAGUUGGUGGAGUGAUCUGUCUGGUUAAUUCCGUUAACGAACGAGACCUUAGCCUGCUAAAUAGCUCGCGUCUAGCUAAUUCGUUAGGCCGUGGGCUUCUUAGAGGUGGGACUGUGCGUGUCUAACGCACGGAAGUGUGAGGCAAUAACAGGUCUGUGAUGCCCUUAGAUGUCCUGGGCUGCACGCGCGCUACACUGACACAUGCAGCAAGUGUCCCUGGUCCGGUGGGAUUGGGUACUCUGACUAACGUGUGUCGUGAUGGGGAUAGAUUAUUGCAAUUAUUAAUCUUCAAUGAGGAAUUCCUAGUAAGUGCAAGUCAUCAGCUUGCGCUGAUUACGUCCCUGCCCUUUGUACACACCGCCCGUCGCUCCUACCGAUUGAAUGUUCCGGUGAAUUAUUCGGACCGCAAGCGCGGGGUCUGUACCACUGCGUUCGUGGGAAGCUUAAUGAACCUUAACAUUUAGAGGAAGGAGAAGUCGUA